AUGCUGCGCAACCACCCGGGCUUCCAGCUGCUCGAGUCCGAGCAGGUCAAGCAGCUCGGCGUCCGCGCACACCCGCUCGAGCACGACGUGCUGCUCCGGCCAGGGCGGCACUACUUCCUCGUCGCGCUGCCCCGGCCCACCGUGCCCCCGCGCGGCGCGUGGUCCGGCGCACUCCAUGUUGACGGCGAGAGAAGUCGCUCAUGUUUACGCGCCGCUCCACCUCCGGCGACCGACCUCUCCUGCCAAACUGCGCCGGCCUCCCCGCUCUCCGCCGCCUCCGAGGGCGGGCCAGUUCAGCCCUGGAUGCGCCUGAAGAGGUAG
rnacentral:rRNA from 1 species